rnacentral:rRNA from 1 species
AUUGAACGCUGGCGGAAUGCUUUACACAUGCAAGUCGAACGGCAGCACGGACUUCGGUCUGGUGGCGAGUGGCGAACGGGUGAGUAACAUACCGGAACGUAUCCAAUAAUGGGGGAUAACGAGUCGAAAGAUUCGCUAAUACCGCAUACGCCCUACGGGGGAAAGCUGGGGACCUUCGGGCCUGGCGUUAAUGGAGCGGCCGAUAUCUGAUUAGCUAGUUGGUGAGGUAAAGGCUCACCAAGGCGACGAUCAGUAGCUGGUCUGAGAGGACGACCAGCCACACUGGAACUGAGACACGGUCCAGACUCCUACGGGAGGCAGCAGUGGGGAAUCUUGGACAAUGGGCGCAAGCCUGAUCCAGCCAUUCCGCGUGAGUGAAGAAGGCCUUCGGGUUGUAAAGCUCUUUCGCAAGGGAAGAAAACUUAGCCACUAACAUUGGUUGAGGUUGACGGUACCUUGAUAAGAAGCACCGGCUAACUACGUGCCAGCAGCCGCCGUAA